UCACUCUUAUUGACUUUGUCUUUCCUCCAAAUAUUGUUAAUCUCAUCAUGAACUGUACCACUUCAACCUCUUUGACGCUCAAAUAGAACAGUGAGAAGUUGAAGUCCUUUGCACCUACCAGAGGAUGAAGACAAGGUGAUUCUGUCUUCUUAUCUUUUUGUUUUGUAUAUGAAAAAAUUAUCUCUCCUUAUACAGAAGAAAGUAGAUGAGCAUAGUUGGUUGCCAGUGAGAGUUGACAGGAACGGUCCAGCAAUUUCACAUCUCUUCUUUGCUGGUGACUGUAUAUUAUAUUAUUAUUCACUGAGGCCAAGUCUUCUCAGAUCAAGUUAAUGAAGGAAGUUUUGGACUUGUACUGUAAAGCGUCUGCGUCUGGUGGAAAAGUUAAUCUCCAGAAAUCCAGGUUCAUGACUUCUAAUAGUAUCUUACAUGUGAAGAUUGAUAAAUUUAUUUCAAUCUCUCAUUUCCAGCACACAAGACAAAUUGGGAAAUAUCUAGGAUUUCCUAUGCUCUCUGGACAAACUAGAAACAGUGAUUUUAAUUAUAUCCUUGAGAGGACUAACUCCAGAUUGGCAGGAUGGAAAAGGAAUUUGUUGAAUGUUGAGUAGCUUUGGCCCAACCUGUGGAUUCCAGAAGGAAUUUGUGAAAGGAUAGAUACUACCAUUUGGGGUGGUGACUAUAUAUUCAUUCUCACUGGGUGAGCAGGAACGUCAUUUAUCGUCCUAGAAGUCUUGGUGGUCUCAAUAUUCGCCCUUCUCCUAUGAUUAAUAUUUCCUUCUUAGGGACUUUUUGCAUGAAAAGCAUAAUAAUAAACUUGGGUCCAAAUGCUUGAGUCUAAAUACCUUGGAAUUCAAUUAUAAAGCCACUGGGAAUCUUGAAUUGGGAUUUCAAAUUCGUCUAUUGGCUGGAAGCUAGGAGAGAAAUCCAGAGUUACAUUAUUAAUGAGCACAUGGAGGAUAAAAUCAUUUGGGGUGCAUCCGGAGAUGGAAUGUUUACUGCAUCUAGCUUCUGCCUUCAAAUGGCUCAUUGCCUACUGGUAAAUUUGGAAAUGGAAAAUGAGAGUGUGGCACAGUCUCAACAUGGAUGGCGAACCUUCAUUUUAUGCUGCUACGUGCGUGGAUUGGCUAGUCAACAACAUCAAUAGCCCACCAAGAGUAGAAAUGCUCUUAUUUUUCAAGACAAGCUCAGAUGUCAUCAAUGUGAUUCAACAGUCAAUGCCUCUGAAAGCAAUGAAAUCUGUUCGUUGGGAAGCAUCAAAUUUCCCUUUCAUCAAGCUGAAUACUGAUGGAUCAUCAUCAAUGGACGCUUUCCUUCAAGCGCAUGUUCUUUGGGAAGGAAAUUCCAGUGCUAUCUGGCUUAACACAUUGGUGAUUGCUGAUAGAUUAAAAUAAUAUUUACUAUGUCACAUCAUCAUGUGUCGGAUGGGUUGUUUUUACCAUGGAGCGAUCUGUGUAUCAGUCCUCUUGCUGUAUCAAACAAAUUAUAAGAACUAAAUUAUAGAUUUACCAAACGAUAAAUGUAACCAUGAUUAAAUUAUGGUUUGUGACCGAAUAAAAUAUCAUCAUUACAAUGA